GCGGGUAGCGCAGGUCGCUAGACAGCCCUCCAAGCUGACGAUCGGGGUUCGAUUCCCCGUAUCCGCUCCA
rnacentral:tRNA from 2 species